ensembl:snRNA U2 U2 spliceosomal RNA
UGUCCUCCCUAGGAGGUCUAUAUUGAGCAGUUUCUUUUUGGUGUUGGGUGGUGGAACCGGAGCGUGCUCCAUCCACUCCAUGCAUUGACCUGGUAUUGCAGUGCUUCCAGGCCCGGUGC